GGGGGCCCGCACCAAGCGGUGGAGCAUGUGGUUUAAUUCGAUGCAACGCGAAGAACCUUACCUUACUCUUGACAUCCAGAGAACUUAGCAGAGAUGCUUUGGUGCCUUCGGGAACUCUGAGACAGGUGCUGCAUGGCUGUCGUCAGCUCGUGUUGUGAAAUGUUGGGUUAAGUCCCGCAACGAGCGCAACCCUUAUCCUUUGUUGCCAGCGAUUCGGUCGGGAACUCAAAGGAGACUGCCAGUGAUAAACUGGAGGAAGGUGGGGAUGACGUCAAGUCAUCAUGGCCCUUACGAGUAGGGCUACACACGUGCUACAAUGGCAUAUACAAAGAGAAGCGACCUCGCGAGAGCAAGCGGACCUCAUAAAGUAUGUCGUAGUCCGGAUUGGAGUCUGCAACUCGACUCCAUGAAGUCGGAAUCGCUAGUAAUCGUGGAUCAGAAUGCCACGGUGAAUACGUUCCCGGGCCUUGUACACACCGCCCGUCACACCAUGGGAGUGGGUUGCAAAAGAAGUAGGUAGCUUAACCUUCGGGAGGGCGCUUACCACUUUGUGAUUCAUGACUGGGGUGAAGUCGUAACAAGGUAGCCGUAAAGCC
rnacentral:rRNA from 1 species